GAUGAACGCUAGCUACAGGCUUAACACAUGCAAGUCGAGGGGAAACGAUAUUGGAAGCUUGCUUCCGAUAGGCGUCGACCGGCGCACGGGUGAGUAACGCGUAUCCAACCUGCCCGUCACUUGGGAAUAACCUUGCGAAAGUAAGACUAAUGCCCAAUGACAUUUAUAGAAGGCAUCUGAAAUGAAUUAAAGAUUUAUCGGUGAUGGAUGGGGAUGCGUCUGAUUAGCUUGUUGGCGGGGUAACGGCCCACCAAGGCGACGAUCAGUAGGGUUCUGAGAGGAAGGUCCCCCACAUUGGAACUGAGACACGGUCCAAACUCCUACGGGAGGCAGCAGUGAGGAAUAUUGGUCAAUGGGCGAGAGCCUGAACCAGCCAAGUAAGCGUGCAGGGAC
rnacentral:rRNA from 1 species